UACGUAGGGUGCUAGCGUUGUUCGGAAUCAUUGGGCGUAAAGCGCGUGUAGGCGGUUAGUUAAGUCGGGUGUGAAAUCCCUGGGCUCAACCGAGGAAGUGCAUUCGAAACUAACUAGCUAGAAGAUGGUAGAGGAAGGUGGAAUUCCAAGUGUAGAGGUGAAAUUCGUAGAUAUUUGGAGGAAUACCGGUGGCGAAGGCGGCCUUCUGGGCCAUUCUUGACGCUGAGACGCGAAAGCGUGGGGAGCAAACAGG
rnacentral:rRNA from 1 species